AGCCGCGGUAAUACGGAGGGGGCAAGCGUUACCCGGAUUUACUGGGUGUAAAGGGUCCGCAGGCGGUUAAGCAAGUCAGUUUUUAAAUACUCUGGCUCAACCAGAGAAUUGGAACAGAUACUGCUUAACUAUGAGUCUAGAGGGGGAAAACGGAACUGCCGGUGUAGCGGUGAAAUGCGUAGAUAUCGGCAGGAACACCUGUGGCGAAGGCGGUUUUCUACUCUGGUACUGACGCUCAUGGACGAAAGCGUGGGGAGCGAUCGGGAUUAGAUACCCCGGUAGUCCACGCCGUAAACGAUGGGUGCUGGGUGUCGGUCCGGUAAAACGGAUCGGUGCCGAAGUUAACACGUUAAGCACCCCACCUGGGGACUACGGCCGCAAGGUUGAAACCCAAAGGAAUUGACGGGGGCCCGCACAACCGGUGGAACAUGUGGUUUAAUUCGAUGAUACGCGAAAAACCUUACCUGGGCUUGACAUGCUGGUAGUAGAACCCCGAAAGGGGAACGAUUUGCCGCAAGGCAGAAGCCAGCACAGGUGGUGCAUGGCC
rnacentral:rRNA from 1 species